CGGGAGGCAGCAGUGGGGAAUUUUCCGCAAUGGGCGCAAGCCUGACGGAGCAAUACCGCGUGAGGGAAGACGGCCUAUGGGUUGUAAACCUCUUUUUUCAGGGAGGAAUAUAUGACGUGUACCUGAAGAAUAAGCAUCGGCUAACUCCGUGCCAGCAGCCGCGGUAAGACGGAGGAUGCAAGUGUUAUCCGGAAUCACUGGGCGUAAAGCGUCUGUAGGUGGUUUAAUAAGUCGGCUGUUAAAUCUUGAGGCUUAACUUCAAAACUGCAGUCGAAACUAUUAGACUAGAGUAUAGUAGGGGUAAAGGGAAUUUCCAGUGGAGCGGUGAAAUGCGUAGAUAUUGGAAAGAACACCGAUGGCGAAGGCACUUUACUGGGCUAUUACUGACACUCAGAGACGAAAGCUAGGGUAGCAAAUGGGAUUAGAUACCCCAGUAGUCCUAGCCGUAAACAAUGGAUACUAGAUGUUGAACAGAUCGACCUGUGCAGUAUUAAAGCUAACGCGUUAAGUAUCCCGCCUGGGAAGUAUGCUCGCAAGAGUGAAACUCAAAGGAAUUG
rnacentral:rRNA from 1 species